rnacentral:lncRNA from 1 species
GAAGUGAUUAUCCUCAAAUAAUUGCUCCGAUCCGGAUUCUCGGAAGUAUCAAUUUUGACACCGGAACCCUCCGCAGCUCACCGGUCAUCUCUGAACUCUUGAAGUGACGUAGGUGACCAGCCAUAAGGCUCGGUGGCAAAGCACAACAUGUUCCAACAACGUCGGAUAAAAUUCGACCCGAAAUCGUGUUUUGCCAGCCGAUUUCGCAGAAAAACACACCGAAAUUGAUAUUCGAUCUUUG